UGAAGAAAGAAAUGAGUGUACGAGGCACCGACAGUGUCCGGACAAGAAGAGAUGCUGCUUCUUCAGCUGUGGGAAGAAGUGCAUGGACCUCCGGGAAGACAUAUGCAGUCUGCCACAGGAUGCUGGCCCCUGCCUGGCCUACCUCCCACGCUGGUGGUAUAAUGAAGAUACUGGCCUCUGUACCCAAUUCAUCUAUGGUGGUUGCCAAGGGAACCCCAACAACUUCCAAUCUGAAGGUAUCUGCACAGUUGUCUGCAAAAAGAAACAAAUGUCUUCCUGGAUAUGACAAGGAUGAGCUGGAAGAAACUCCAGGUCUUGGCUCCUAAUCUGAGGCUUUCUUCCCGUGAGCCCAGCACAUGCUCUGGAUUGGCUGCCAGCGGCCAAGUCUUAGCCACUGAGACUUUGGCUGUUCCCAAACCAGAACCCCAGAAUCUGCUUAUUCCCUUCCCACAAACCCAGCUGCUCCUCAGACAUCAUGAUCUUCGACCUUUGACCCCCUCUCCGUCUGGGACCCUAUCACCUCAACUUUCAGGGUUCAAAUUUAUUCCUGUGUAGACUCUACUUCCUCCUAGUAAAGGAUCCUGUGAGUCCUGAUGUCUCAGAGUCUGAAUAUCUCAUCUGCUGUCUGCAGGUGUUCAUAUCAGCUCACAGUUCUCUAUGUACACAACUGUCCAUUGUCCUGUGUAUUUCAAGGAUAACGCUCGGCUCCAGUCACCCUAGGAAACAGAUCGUUCAGCCAGUGGAAGGGGGAUGGGAUCCUUUCCACAUCCUCUGGCAAACAGGGAAACCAGAAAAAGCGUGAGUGCUGGGCUCAAUGCAACCGUGUCUUCUGAUUGCCACUUCAUACCUGUAUGCAGAUGUUCACAUAUGUUCAUAUCCCUCUGUAUACAUAUUUGCAUGUUAUAUAGAGGCAAGCUAUAAGGAUUACACAUACACACAGAGUCAGAAAUAGUAUAUUCAUUAAAGUUUACGGUUAAAAAUU
rnacentral:lncRNA from 1 species